GGGCAACCACACGCAUUGGUAGGCCGCAUCAGAGAAGCACACUCACCCACGCUUACCCCUCCUUGCACGCUUUUCCUCUUUUUUCCUUUUCCGUCUCUUGCGCGUGGUGACUCCUUCCCCCCCUCAUCCACCACCACACCCCCGCCCAAACAACGGCACUGAAGUCUUUGCCCGCAUCUCUGACAGCGUUUCUGUAUUAGCCAUGACCGCCAUCGCCAAGCUGCCGGCGGCGAAUUACACACGCCUGCUGUACAUCGGCAGCGAUGUGGUGGCGGCCUGUGACCGCAAGACGGCGCACCUGGUGCAACAUCGAGGCGACACCAAGGUGGAUGAGGCAACAUGUAUUUCCCCAUACGAUGCGGACAAUUUCGUUCCGUGGCUGCCUCCAGGCGCACAUGUUGCUCGCGUGCGCGCUGUUUGGUGCAUGCGCAAGGGCCCAGGCUACGCUGUUUUUGCUGAGCGAGCCGGCGAGGGCGGUGCAACCGCAGCGACAUCGCCUGACGCCGCUUCCGUCAAGAUCAUCUCUGACUUGACAGAGAACAUUGUCAGCCUGCACAUCUUCUACCAGUCGAUUCUUGCCGUGCGUACGCUCAAGCGGGUGCUUUUCUACUCACUGGACCCGUCCCCUUCAGCGACGACCAUAGCCACACGGAUAGGCGCCUGCGCGCUUCCGAAGUGGGCGAGCCAACCGGCGGUGGUAGUGGACAUAGUCUCGCCUGUGUGCCGCUCCGCGGCUGCGGAAAAGACCAUAUGCGUUGCGUGCUUCACAUUGGAUCGCAUGUUUGUGGCCACGGUCGUGUGCCCAUCCUCCGCGUCUGCAGCCGUGGUGUGUCGCACCGCGAUGUCCGGCGUGCUGUUCUCCUCAUCCCCUGCAUCCGAUCCCGCUCCGACGCGCGUCUGCAAGUGGGCUGUGCGGUGGUGUAGGCAGGAAAUGCUGAUGCUGUGCUUCUCCGAGGCGGAUAGAACCCCACGUCUGACCGGGUUUUUCCUCCAGCCCACAAGAGGGUGCGAGAUGUCGAAGUGGAUGUCGCCCCAGGAGCUUGCCACGUCGGUGAGCGGCGCCUCGCCUGCUGCGGUGAGGGCCUCCAGUGACAUAUGCUGUGAUAGUGACGGAGCGCGCGUGUGGCUGUGCGACACUACUACUGGUCCCUCGGUCGUUCUCCGGGAGGUGACAGCUGCCCCACCGAGUGAGCUGGUGCUGACGGGCACAAGUUCAAACACGCGGGUGGCGAUGGCCACGGGUGCAAGCGGAGUUUUUGUGCUCUCAGGCUGCACACUGUAUUCUGUGAAACGCAGCCACAUGGGUGCCACGAGCGAGUCGGCCGCUGCCACGCUUACAGGGACUUCGAAUGCCAGCUCUCCUGGCAGCGCAUCCAUCGCAGCGGUCGGCGACUUGCCAAGGAGGCACGAAGCAAGAAUGCGAAAGGAGUCAUCAGCAGCGGAAACCAUCACGUGCAAGGCUGCGGCGAGCGAGCGAUCUUCGCUAUCUGCGCACAUGCUGUCAACGCCGUUGCAGCCCGCUGCGGCAUCUAUAUCGCGCAGCGCACAAAUCAAGGACGCCGUGUUGGAGUAUGCCAUAGGGCACACACUGAUCUUUUCAGAUAUCGUGCGCGACACCGUUUACGUUCACGAGAGCGGCAGUGCCACCUCUGGCGCCGCCUUCACGCACGAUAUCUUGAGCGCAAUCAGUGAGCGGCUUGACGCGGACCGACCUCAGCACGCGCUGGCGCGUAUCCGGUACGGCGGUGUGGCUCGGUCACUGCAUCCCUACACCGUGCUGGAGCUGUUGCGCUUUCGCCGUGGGCCGUCCGCGGAAGCGAUGCCAAAGGGUCUGCUCCUCGCCAUCGCAUCGACGCUAGCCGACAAGCCGACACUGCAAAACGGCGGUCUGUGGCGACUCCCCGCCUUUGCCGCUGCCUCGGCGGCCUUCUUUGAUUCGACCGGCGGCAGCGGCCCUUUCACAUCAGAGCUGGAGAAGAAGCGCUACGUUGCGGAUGUCUGUGACGCCGCGAAGGCCGCCCUCGCGAGUGGGGCUCUCGGUGCAGCCCGUCUACUGUUCGCUGUGGCUGCAAGGGCGGUCUCUCUCAUCUACGGCAGUACUCCUAGGCGCCACGUUGAGGCGACACAGCCGUAUGGUAAGGAAGAGCAGAUGUGCGAGGCGACCAUCGCCGAGUGCAUCAGCCUUAUGCGCUCCUACGUUGAAUGGUCUCUCACUGCCUCCUCAUCUCUGGGCGUCAUGUCCGCGCACGUUGGCGCUCCGCACACCCUGACGAAGGAGGCAGCUCUCCGCGAUGGCGAGGCGCACCCCAUCAGCACAUCGCGGCAGGUGCAGAUCCACCCUAUGCAAGUGACUCGGCUGCCCAAGAAGUCCAUCUGACCACCACCGCCACUGCCGCCAUGGAAGCACACGCCAAAGUGCGUCCCCCAAGCUCUUUUUCCUGGCCCUCCGCUCUGACUGAAGCAGGCCCCCGGAUGCAAGAAUCCGAGUACUGUGCGCACGCGCUGCCAAUGACAGCUGACAAGGCGUAUCACAUUCACGCAAGGCAUCGAGAGGUCAGCAGAGCAGGAGUAGUCGACGGAAAAGGCACGAAGAGAUGCAUACCAAUCAGCCCCAAAGUGCAUAUGCGCGGAAUAUGCGGCAUCUUGUACAUCCGACCGGGUGAGCUGAUGAGGCGCAGAUGCCGGAACGAUGACGAGAACAGCCCAAGUUACACCAUCGAGCCCACCAGACCCCGAUGUGAAGAGUCUCCACAACACAUUAUGGAUUGCAGCGGCUUGAGGCGAGUGAGGGCGAUGCAUGGCAUACAGGCUGGGUGCAGGGUCUCAUAGGGCCUUAACCUGAGGCUGGCCAACUUCCUCCUCGGGCCCAUGCGGCAUACGCCUCGACUGCCCUCUACUAUCCGCACGACGGGCGCCCGCCGCCUCCGCCCUCGAGCAGGAGCGUGGACGCGGCCCGCUUGGAUCAAGGCGUGCAGCACACCGAAGUCUCCGUCUGGCGCCGAUCGCACAGCACGCAUGCGCAGAAGGGAUGGGGAAGGGCAGGAAGAGCCCGCUGGACGCGUGGCCCGAUUCAAUAGCAGGAUGGUUUCUCCUAGAAGAGCACGAUUUAGCUGUAUUCCAAGAGCGGUGGGUGAGGUGUGUUUGCGCGUGUCGGCUUGCCUUCUGGGAGAGUGAAACGCUAAAGAAGAGGCAACUUUGCUCUAACUUGACGACUAAAGAUGGCGCUCGUCUGCCGGAUCCCACAUGCACCGCUGUCUCUCUCCGUGGCUCGUGCAACGGCUGAAGUUUUGCCUCUGUCUGCGCAUGGCCGGCCGACGCGCGCCCACGGAAGCUGUGCGAGUGAUGAAUGCGUGCAUGCGCCGCUUAAACACAAACCCCUUCAAAAAAUAGAAAGUGCAGAAAGCCCGCACGCGCAUAUGUUUGUAUGUGCGUGUGCAUGCGUAUGUGGGUGUGUGCUGUAAAGGCGGGUUUGGCAGCGGUGCAACCGCCUCGCAUGCGCAGCAGACAUGUGAGAGACACGGCCGUGGUAUCGAUGGGA
rnacentral:misc_RNA from 1 species